rnacentral:lncRNA from 1 species
UAGAUGUGUGGAGUGAUUCAGUUUCCCCUCUUCCUGAGCAGGGUUUUCACAGGAAUCCACUCCAAACCACUGCUUGAAGAGGGCUAUCUCAAGUCUACUAAAGGAGAGAAAAGAAAAUUCCUUGCAAAAUGAAGAGCCAUGAUAAAAUAUGGGGUGAUCCUAUUACCAAGACCAGUGCAUAUGCUGGUGGCAUUUCCUCAGCAAAUAAGAUCUUAUCAUGGCCUUGAAAUGUUGCAGCAGCCUUGGAAGAAUUUUAGGAAUGUCCCCAAGGAAGCAAUGAAUUUCUGAUUUGCAUAGAAAGGGACAGAGGUAAGGAGAGAGGAAGAGCCUGCUUAUGCACAUUUAAUUCCUGAUAUUGCUCUCCAGAACUCAAUGGGAAGAGACCUGUGACAUGAAACCUGUACUGCUGAAUGAGGAGCACACCAGAAAUGUGAAUCAUCACAGAUAACAUGAUACUGGAUAGGAAUCUAAAACUCAAGACUGUGAUGAAUGCCAGAGAGAGAGAGAAGUUUCAUCUUGCACUCAAAGGUAGUCAGAAUACUGGAGUAGGGUGCAGUUGGUACAUGAAAGUGACUGUAAUCUUCUGCUAGCUUUAGGAUCCAAUUCUAUGAUAUACAUCAAGUCAAGGGGGUGUUUCUAGGAUGAUGUUCCCUGUCACCAAUAUGCUGGGCAACUUUAAGGCACAUUAGACUGCCAAGAACUUUUAGAGACCAGAGUUCUUUAAGAAGGUAGUUGGUUAGAACUCAGUUCAAAUUACAGUUUAUUGUUUUGUUUUUCUCUCUUCUACUUGCUUCCAACCCUGAAAUUAGGAUUUAAGAUUUUCUUCUUCUUGACUAAGCUUGCACUAAUUUUCCCCAUCAUCUUUCAAGUGCUAGAGUUGAGGCCAAGGGAGGCUGACAAAUUCAGCUCACGUUCUGUCACUGGAGGUAAAGUAUGCAAACACCAGUCUAAUGUUCCCUCCAUAAGUUGCACCCUGACAUGAGACUGAAUGCUCUCAGCCAUGCUGGAAGGGUCAUUGGGGGCCUGGGAUUGCGAAGUGCUGUAUUGAGAAAGUUGUUCCUGGCAGGCACAGAGAACACCCCUUCUUCCAGGAACAGGUAACAAAGAGAGACCCCUCAUAGCAGACCCCCAG